CUGACGGUGCUUACCAUGCAAGUCGAACGGAGAUUCAGCAAUGGAUCUUAGUGGCGAACGGGUGAGUAACGCGUAGGCAAUCUGCCUUCUAGAUGGGGACAACAUCCCGAAAGGGGUGCUAAUACCGAAUGUUGUACCGUUUCCGCAUGGAGAUGAUACUAAAGGUGGCCUCUGAAUAUGCUACCGCUAGAAGAUGAGCCUGCGUCUGAUUAGCUAGUUGGAGGGGUAACGGCCCACCAAGGCUUCGAUCAGUAGCCGGUCUGAGAGGAUGAACGGCCACACUGGGACUGAGACACGGCCCAGACUCCUACGGGAGGCAGCAGUGGGGAAUCUUCCGCAAUGGACGAAAGUCUGACGGAGCAACGCCGCGUGAGUGAAGAAGGUUUUCGGAUCGUAAAGCUCUUUCGUUAGGGACGAACGUGCUCUUUGUGAAUAAUGAGGAGUAAUGACGGUACCUAAAUAAGAAGCCACGGCUAACUACGUGCCAGCAGCCGCGGUAAUACGUAGGUGGCAAGCGUUGUCCGGAAUUAUUGGGCGUAAAGCGCGCGCAGGCGGGAUAUCAAGUCUGUCUUAAAAGUGCGAGGCUCAACCUCGUGAGGGGACGGAAACUGGUAUUCUUGAGUGUCGGAGAGGAAAGUGGAAUUCCAAGUGUAGCGGUGAAAUGCGUAGAGAUUUGGAAGAACACCAGUGGCGAAGGCGACUUUCUGGACGAUGUCUGACGCUGAGGCGCGAAAGCUAGGGGAGCGAACGGGAUUAGAUACCCCGGUAGUCCUAGCCGUAAACGAUGGGUACUAGGUGUAGGGGGUAUCGACCCCUCCUG
rnacentral:rRNA from 1 species